rnacentral:lncRNA from 1 species
CGCCCCCUAGUGGCCCAGGGGUCUCUGUGACUUUUACACAGCGACACAGUACAGGCCUCCCUGAACGCGUCUGUGUUGGUGGAUGCGGCCCUCGCUCUGGGUCCAGCCAGGCUCUGCGGUGUGGGGAGCCAAUCGCUGUGGGCUGUGGGAGCAGCAUGUGGUGUGGGGGUUGAAGGGCCCCACUAUGGGCGGCCGGAUGGAGAGACUGAGGCCUAAUUGGCCCCCUUGCCCGACAGGGGGUGUAUCCCCACGAGACAGCACAGUCGGGACCGUGUGGGUCCUGACACCGGCAGAACCCACAUAUGGCUGGCUGCACGGGCCCUGGAGAUAGUGGCUGAUGACUGGGUUCCUAGGUGACCCCUCUCCUCCAAGACCACCUCUCUCCUCAACGUGGGCAGUUGUGGCAGUGAGAGGUGCAUGGGCUGCUCUUGGUCAGCAGCGAGAUGACCCAGGCCGACUGAUACUUCAAACACUGCAGGGAGGGCCAGGAUUUGAAGCCCGCCGCUGCCGCUGCUCCCGGAAGUGCACGGAGAAUACGCGUCCGGCCCGGGUCCCACAAGACUGCUAUCUGAGGCCCCUCUUCUCGUUUCCUGCAUCGCCCAGGUUGGAGUGGGGUGGGCACCCACUCUCAUGAUCAACGCUCUGCAGCCGCCUGGCUUUCUGUGAGACAGUGAUCCAGCUGCAGGAAUCAGAAGGUGCAGCUUCAGGAGCAAAGGGCUUGCUGGAAGCCAUCCUGGCCUGCCACGGAGAAGUCCUCCUUUGGAUCAUGAAGAUUCUCUCCGCUCUCACCUUGCUCCUCGCCCUGCUGAGCUCUGCUGGGGGCCAAGGCCAUCCGCCCCGCUGGCUCCACGCGGUCCCCCGGCUGGCGCUCUCCGCCGGUGACUUCGUGACGCAGCGUGAGGACCGUUCACGGUGUUUCCCGACAGCCGCUUCGCGGCAGUGCUUCCUCAACAGAAAAUGGACUCCAGCCUCGGCUGACGCGAGAACUCGGUGUGCUGUGCACACCGCGUGAGGACUGCGAUGCGUUUCAGGGCCAGGUCCAUCCACACUGAACUCGACCUCGCUGCGGCAUCUGGGCUGUGGGUCACUGGACUGAAAUUACAUUAAAGGGCCAAGUCUUUGCAAAUUUCAUUUUAGAAAAGAAAAAACGUGACAUUUUAAUAAAUGCAGCAAGGUGGCCCCAAAGCAGCGUGUAGGACUCCCUUGGUAUUAUUUCUCUCUCCUUUUAAAAUUACAGUUUAUAUUUAAAGAAAACAAUGCGCUCACCCUGCGAACUGGCUCCUGUAGGCC